rnacentral:rRNA from 1 species
ACCUGUGAAGAUGCAGGUUACCCGCGACAGGACGGAAAGACCCCGUGGAGCUUUACUGUAGCCUGAUAUUGAAAUUCGGCACAGCUUGUACAGGAUAGGUAGGAGCCUUUGAAACGUGAGCGCUAGCUUACGUGGAGGCGCUGGUGGGAUACUACCCUAGCUGUGUUGGCUUUCUAACCCGCACUACUUAUCGUGGUGGGAGACAGUGUCAGGCGGGCAGUUUGACUGGGGCGGUCGCCUCCUAAAAGGUAACGGAGGCGCUCAAAGGUUCCCUCAGAAUGGUUGGAAAUCAUUCAUAGAGUGUAAAGGCAUAAGGGAGCUUGACUGCGAG